rnacentral:rRNA from 1 species
UACACGACCGUACCGCAAACCGACACUGGUGCGCGAGAUGAGUAUUCUAAGGCGCUUGAGAGAACUCAGGAGAAGGAACUCGGCAAAUUGACACCGUAACUUCGGAAGAAGGUGUGCCUUUAGUAGGUGAAGUCCCUGCGGAUGGAGCCCAAUGAGGUUGCAAAAAAUCGGUGGCUGCGACUAUUUAUUAAAAACACAGCACUCUGCAAACACGAAAGUGGACGUAUAGGGUGUGACGCCUGCCCGGUGCUGGAAGAUUAAAUGAUGGGGUGCAAGCUCUUGAUUGAAGUCCCAGUAAACGGCGGCCGUAACGAUAACGGUCCUAAGGUAGCGAAAUUCCUUGUCGGGUAAGUUCCGACCUGCACGAAUGGCGUAACGAUGGCCACACUGUCUCCUCCUGAGACUCAGCGAAGUUGAAAUGUUUGUGAUGAUGCAAUCUCCCCGCGGAAAGACGGAAAGACCCCAUGAACCUUUACUGUAGCUUUGUAUUGGACUUUGAACAGAUCUGUGUAGGAUAGGUGGGAGGCUUUGAAGUAGGGUCGCUAGAUCUUAUGGAGCCAACGUUGAAAUACCACCCUGGUGUGUUUGAGGUUCUAACCUAGGUCCAUUAUCUGGAUCGGGGACAGUGCAUGGUAGGCAGUUUGACUGGGGCGGUCUCCUCCCAAAGCGUAACGGAGGAGUUCGAAGGUACGCUAGUUACGGUCGGACAUCGUGACGAUAGUGCAAUGGCAUAAGCGUGCUUAACUGCGAGACUGACAAGUCGAGCAGAUGCGAAAGCAGGACAUAGUGAUCCGGUGGUUCUGUAUGGAAGGGCCAUCGCUCAACGGAUAAAAGGUACUCUGGGGAUAACAGGCUGAUACCGCCCAAGAGUUCAUAUCGACGGCGGUGUUUGGCACCUCGAUGUCGGCUCAUCUCAUCCUGGGGCUGUAGCCGGUCCCAAGGGUAUGGCUGUUCGCCAUUUAAAGAGGUACGUGAGCUGGGUUUAAAACGUCGUGAGACAGUUUGGUCCCUAUCUUCCGUGGGCGCUGCAGAUUUGAGGAAGCCUGCUCCUAGUACGAGAGGACCGGAGUGGACACACCUCUGGUGUAUCGGUUGUCACGCCAGUGGCAUUGCCGAGUAGCUAAGUGUGGAAGAGAUAACCGCUGAAAGCAUCUAAGCGGGAAACUCGUUUCAAGAUGAGAUCUGCCGGGGCCUUGAGCCCCCUAAAGAGUCGUUCAAGACCAGGACGUUGAUAGGUCAGGUGUGGAAGCGCAGUAAUGCGUUAAGCUAACUGAUACUAAUUGCUCGUGCGGCUUGACCU